UCGAACGAGAAAGGGGAGCAAUCCCUGAGUAAAGUGGCGUACGGGUGAGUAACACGUGGAUCAUCUACCCUCUUGUGGGGAAUACCGAUGGGAAACCGUCGACAAUACCGCAUAAGCUCGAGAGAGGAAAGCCGAAAGGCGCUGGAGGAGGAGUCCGCGGUCGAUUAGUUAGUUGGCAGGGUAAAAGCCUACCAAGACUGUGAUCGAUAGCCGGCCUGAGAGGGCACACGGCCACACUGGCACUGAAACACGGGCCAGACUCCUACGGGAGGCAGCAGUGGGGAAUCUUGCACAAUGGGGGAAACCCUGAUGCAGCGACGCCGCGUGAGUGAUGAAGCCCUUCGGGGCGUAAAGCUCUUUCGGCAGGGACGAUUAUGACGGUACCUGCAGAAGCAGCUGCGGCUAACUACGUGCCAGCAGCCGCGGUAAUACGUAGGCAGCAAGCGUUGUUCGGAGUUACUGGGCGUAAAGGGUGCGUAGGCGGCUUUUUAAGUUUGGUGUGAAAUCUCCUGGCUUAACCGGGAGGGUGCGCCGAAUACUGAGAAGCUAGAGUACGGGAGAGGAAAGUGGAAUUCCUGGUGUAGCGGUGAAAUGCGUAGAUAUCAGGAGGAACACCUGUGGGUGUAGACGGCUUUCUGGACCGUAACUGACGCUGAUGCACGAAAGCGUGGGUAGCAAACAGGAUUAGAUACCCUGGUAGUCCACGCCCUAAACGAU
rnacentral:rRNA from 1 species